AAAAAUGAGAAAAUUGAAAACCAACGGUAGUACAUGAAAGCAAUGUAUUUUCUCCUUACAUCCCUUUUCUAACAUAAAAAUAAGGGGGGGGGGGGAGAGGGGACAGAAGCGGUUUUGGGGCUUCGUGUGCCAUUGGAUUACUGAUAAUAUUGCGCGUAAAACCCCCAACCCAAUUUGUAGUUUCACCAGUUUCGAAAGCAGCGCCGUUGUCGCCUGAAAUCGCCAGUGGAGGAAUAUCGUUCAAUCUCAAAUUGGAGUCGUUGUGUAUUGAAUCUAAUUGGGCUUUCUAGAUGGUUAUCUUCGCCUCUUGUAAGCGCCCCUUUUGGUAUUGAGAAUCGACCUUUUCGCCGGUCUGAACACCGUCGCCGACAGAAAAUAAUACAUCGCCGGAGCUGAUUAGAUUAGGCUUGAUAUUUAAAUAUUAUUUUUUAAAACCCGUUUGCCAUGUAUUUUUUUAAUUGGUCAUUUUUGCCAUGUCAUGCAAGUGUGUUAUACACAUUCUAUACCUUUGCUGAUUGUUCAAAAAAGGCCUAGGUGGAUCAAAUUUCGGGUGAGUUAGGGGCCUGAUAGAUACAAGUCUGAGUUGAGGGAUUCAAGUGAAAUUUCAAAACAAGUUUAAGGACAUAUCGAUGACUUAAGUCUAUUUAACAGAUCACGCUGAACACCACAAUUUCUAUGAAAUUUAAAAAGUAUAAUAAAAAUCAUAAUUUCUUUGUUAAACUAUGUAGUCAAUCAAACAUGGUCAUGUAAAGUGAAAAUAGAGGAAAUAAUUUAUCUUUUACCCCUUUCUUUUGGGGAAGUGAGAGAGGAGUUUGAAAUAGUUGUUAUUUUUCUCAGAUUUCAAAAUGAAAUAUAAGUUCUAUUUAAUAAUCAUGCACCUAUGUUUUAACCACUAGUAAAUUAGAUUAUGAAUAUGUGUAGUUUGGGUAAUGAAGAUAUUUAGCUAAUCAUUAUUGGAUGGAUUUUUAACCACUAGACCAGAUUAUAGAUAUGUUUGGCUUGGGUAAUGAAGAUAUUUAGCUAAUCAUUAUUUGGAUGGAUUUUUAACCUCUUAGUCCAGAGUCUAGACUAAAAUAUGGAUAUGUUUGGUUUGGUUAAUGAAGAUAUUUUAACUAAUCCCUAUUUGGAUGGAUAAUUGACCAAAGUUAAAUCAUAGCAUUCAAUAGUAUUUGAUUAUUGUACCCUAGAAAGUACUUUGUCCUAUUAAUUAACACUGGUUUUAACUUUAAAAUGGACCCAAUAAAAUUAUGACUAAAUUUGAUGAAACAAUAGAAAAUAACAUUGGUAGUUUUGGAACAUAAAUUAUUCAAGUACAUUUUGAGGAAUAUGUUACUUUUGUAGAUUUUGAGGUCAAGAAAGUUCAUAACCAUUUCGAGAGAAAUGUAGUAUUCUGCACCUUUAUCACACGUCUGCCAAUUAAUUAACCGAAUUCUUGAUAGUAACAUGUACUAAUAAGUAGAAAAAACUUCCCUAUCUGCAAAAAACUUUAGGUUGUAGUUUAACUUUUAUGUUAUUCCACUUUGGAGUAAAAAACAAGUGAACCCAUCCAAUUUUACUUAUUUAAGUAGAUGUUCAACAAUGAGUUUAAUUUGUAGAUUCGUUUUAUCUAUUUUAUUUUGUAUCUCUCAUCUUGAAUUAUAUUGAGAAAUUAUCUUAAGCUUCUAGAAAUUGUUAGCCGGCGCACAAUGUUGGGAAACUCUCUCAACAGGUUCUCCCUGUGAAUGAAUUGAUCGGCAGUAUACUUAGACUCAUCAUGCUUUGCAUAUCAUUUUUGUCUAGCCUAAACGACCCAUCUAGUGCCAUACCUCCUAGAUUGCCCAUGUGGGAGAACCGGAGGGUGAGACGCACCACCACUUUGUCUAUUCCGUUUUCAUGCUGGCUCAGAAGGUCCCGCCAUGGCCUUGCCUCUUUGUUGUCGACCAGACAUAUCACCUUAGUGGUCUUGAAGAAGAUGAAAGAGAGCUCCUCUGUGCUUGAGUGAAAAGAACAAAGUUUGGAGGAGAGUAUUUUGCUAAGGGAAUUAAGUGGCGGCGCGGG
rnacentral:lncRNA from 1 species